UACGUAGGGGGCGAGCGUUGUCCGGAUUUAUUGGGCGUAAAGAGCGUGUAGGCGGCCAGGUAGGUCUGCUGUGAAAACUCGAGGCUCAACCUCGAGAGGUCGGUGGAAACCGUUUGGCUAGAGUCCGGAAGAGGAGAGUGGAAUUCCCGGUGUAGCGGUGAAAUGCGCAGAUAUCGGGAAGAACACCCGUGGCGAAGGCGGCUCUCUGGGACGGUACUGACGCUGAGACGCGAAAGCGUGGGGAGCGAACAGG
rnacentral:rRNA from 1 species